UACGUAGGGUGCGAGCGUUAAUCGGAAUUACUGGGCGUAAAGCGUGCGCAGGCGGUUCGUUAAGUUCGUUGUGAAAGCCCCGGGCUCAACCUGGGAACUGCAAUGGAAACUGGCGGGCUUGAGUGUGGCAGAGGGGGGUGGAAUUCCGCGUGUAGCAGUGAAAUGCGUAGAGAUGCGGAGGAACACCAAUGGCGAAGGCAGCUCGCUGGGACGUUACUGACGCUGAGACGCGAAAGCGUGGGGAGCAAACAGG
rnacentral:rRNA from 1 species